GACGAACGCUGGCGGCGUGCUUAACACAUGCAAGUCGAACGGUGAAGCGCCUUCCUUUUUGGUGGGUGUGGAUGAGUGGCGAACGGGUGAGUAACACGUGAGUAACCUGCCCCCUUCUUCUGGAUAACCGCAUGAAAGUGUGGCUAAUACGGGAUAUUCUGGGUCUGUCGCAUGAUGGGUCUGGGAAAGAUAUUGUUUCGGUUGGGGAUGGGCUCGCGGCCUAUCAGCUUGUUGGUGGGGUGAUGGCCUACCAAGGCGGUGACGGGUAGCCGGCCUGAGAGGGUGGACCGUCACAGUGGGACUGAGACGCGGCAGAGACUCAUGCGGGGGGCAGCAGUGGAGAAUAGUACACAAUGGGCGAACGUCUGAUGCAGCGACGCCGCGGGAGAGAUGGAGGCCUGCGGGUUGUAAACCUCUUGCGCGGAAGAAGAAGGCCUGCCUUGAUUGUGCGUGGGUUGACGGUAGCUGGAUAAGAAGCGACGGCUAACUACGUG
rnacentral:rRNA from 1 species